AAAAGUACUAAAUUACCCCCACUCCUCCCCCAGCUCGCCUGCUAGAGGAAGUUGCAACCACGUCAGCCGGUGGGGCUCCACUGUUUCCACGUGGCAUUCGUGCAUGGGUGAUGUUUUUUUCAGUUGGGUGCACGAGAGUGGUGUGAUCUUCUCUUUGAUCCUCUCGUCCGUGUGAUGCUGUCAUUCUUUGCAGUCUGCAC
rnacentral:lncRNA from 1 species